GGUCGGUUAGCUCAGUUGGUUAGAGCGUCGUACUAAUACAGCUUCCAUUGUAUUAAGUAAUGCGAAGGUCAUGGGUUCGACCCCCAUACUGACCA
rnacentral:tRNA from 1 species